UAACAUGCCUCAGAAACAAAAAGCCAAAGAAAACAGACAAAUGGAAAUGAAAUGAGUAGAUAUUAUUUAUGAAAUGUCUUACAACGCGAAUUAAGCACCGGUGAAGCUUGGUGGUUUGUAGGCGAUGAAACUGAUGCACUGGACUUGACGGUUGUUGUCGAAUCCAAUGAUCCUGAUGAAGGCGUUAGGGUACUCCGUUUUGCACUCUUGGACUUCCUUCAACACUUGAGCAGAGUCGGUGCAUCCGAACAAGGGAAGCUUCCACAUUGUCCAGUAACGGCCAUCGUAGUAUCCGGGGGUGCUUCCGUGCUCACGGUACACAAAUCCAUGCUACACACACAUGAGAAUUCCAAUCAAAAUCAGGAUUGAGAUUAUGUGAUAAAAGAUGUUUAGAUCCAAAAAAAACUUCUAUUUUUAUUACCUCCAACUCGAAUUCAACACAAGGAAUCCACUUGUUGCGGAGAAGGUAGUCGACUUCCUUACCCAAUUCAACUUCGGUAAGGUCAGGAAGGUAAGAGAGGGUCUCAAACUUCUUCUUUCCAACUGGUGGCCACACCUACGAAACGUAUUUCCAAUUAAUGAAUAUUAGUUCACUUUUGUAUAUACUGUUUAACGAUUCUAGGUAUCUAAAUGUACUUUUGAAUAGGAUUCUGUUCGAAUCUACCAGUUGCGUGUAAUAAAAGACAAGCCUAGCUCUAGACUCUCUAGUGACAUUUACCUUCAUGCAGCUAACUCUUCCUCCGUUGCUAACGAUGGAGGUAAUGUCAUUGUUGGCCUUGCGGGUGACUGGGAAUGCAGAGGAAGACUUCAAGCCGGUGAAUGGAGCGACCAUGGUGGCUUGAGCCGGUGAGGUAACCACAGCUGCGGAGGAGAGCAUAGAGGAAGCCAUUACUACUUCUUCUUCUUCUUCUUUUUUCUUAACUUACUUGUCUGUCUAUUGCUUCGGUUAUCUAUAUAUAGUGAGAAGCGCAAGAGGUAUAAAGCCCUAAUGAUCGAAGGAUCAAAAUUUCAUGAUAUCGUCGUUAACUGCCACAGGAUUAAAGAAAGGUGUAGAAAUAACAUUAUCUUAUCUUAUCUUGUAAGAAAACGUAUGAAUGUGUAUGGUUACUCGUCUCAACUUGAGCCAAUGCUUUUGGCUCCUUCCUAUUAAGAGAGGACAAUUCUGACGCAUGAUCUACAUUUCAAUGUUCGCGGACCUUCUAUUUAUAUGAAUUAGUUUCGCUUAAUUUGAUUAGGUUCAUUAUUAAAUUCACAAUUGAAAUUACUAUACGAAAUGUACUUGAAUUAUACAUGUAUGUCGUACUAAUUAACUUAUGAGUAAUGAGACUACUGUAAUGGUCAUGUCCAUAUUCAAACGAACAAAAACAAAAGAAUAGUGGGUCCGAUUGGUAAGUUAAAAGUAAAACCGUAUAAAAACUGUUACUUUUUUUUUUUGACACGAAAAACAAACUGUUACUUAAUAGUUAAAAACUAUAAACUAAAUCAAUAAAAGUGGUACCAAAACACUAAAUGUAACGUUUUUAGGUAAUGCUUUGUGCAUCUCUCUGUGAUGGGUAACUUCCUGCGGAUUCAGGUAGUUCGGUUCGACUAAAAUCUUGUUGAACAUAAAAAAAAUUCAGUUCAGUUUGGUAUUUGGGUAGUUUGGUUUUUAAAAUUUUACCGAAACUAACUAAAGUUUUUGGUUCUGAUUAUAUUUCGGUUAAAAAUUUGGGUAAAAUUGGUUAAUUCGGUUAAUUCUGUUAGUUUGGUUAAUUCGGUCCAAUGUUUUGGUUUGGUUAAUUCUGUUAGUUCGGUUCAAAAUUUUGAGUAAUUUUAGGUAGCUUGGUUACUUCGAUUCAAAAUUUUGGUUAGCUAGGUUAGUUCGGAUUGAAAUUUGGGAACAAAAUUUUUUUUGAAACCGAUUACCGAACAGAACGAGCCAAAAACCAUUUUCUUAUAAACAGGCUGAACCAAACAUGCUGAACAGAACCGAACUUCUCAAUUAAAUGAAAUUUCGGAUGCCUUAAUCGGAAUGAUACAAGAUUACCAAUUAUAUUUAGCUCUGGUCAGAUAGUGUUGUAUUUUUUAUGAUUUUUUUAAUGAAUGUAAAAGUUAUUAAUCCAAAAAAUCAUCCUUACAUUGAAAGCAAUGUUUUAUAAGAUUAAGUUUCGGUUAAAUGUAAGAUUAGUUUUUAGAUUUUUGAGUUACUUUUUGAUGUAUAAUGUAUUACAUUUGAGUUACAAUUUUGAGGGAUUCCUUUGGUAAAAUUGACAAAUCAAGUGGUAAUUCAACAUCAAGAAAAAUACGAUGUGUUAAGAUUUGAGUUAGUAUGUUUUUUUGUUUUUCAACUAAAACCCUACGUUCAUUUUUGGCUAUAUUAAACAUUUUGUUUUCUAAAUUAAUUUAAUAGUUAUAUAUGUUUACACUCGCCGGAUGAGAGAGAGAGAGAGAGAGAGAGAGAGAGAGAGAGAGAGAGAAGGAAGUAGUUGAUAUAUAUAUAUGUAUCUUAUUUUCAAUGUCUACCAGUAGUGUGUACAAAAGAUCUCAUAAAGUCCACGUAAGAAGUGUAAACUAUCAAAUGAUGACCAUUUUAUGAAUGAAUUUAAUCUAUAUUAAAUAUACAUAAACCCGUAUAUGAUACUAUUGUGAAUGUGAUGAUAAAAAGAUAAAAUGAUCGUUAUUUGAAUCUUUGAUGACCUAACUAACUUCAUCUGGAGAGAGAGAGAGAGAGAGAGAGAGAUGAGGGAGAGAAGAAGGCAAAUAUGUUUUUAUAUAAAACUUUUAUGACGGAAAAGGGUCGUUAGAAUUCCGUCGAAAUAUUUUGGUAUUUGGCAGUUCACAAAAAUUUUGGUUGUUCCUUUUCCCAAGUACAUUAAAAUUCCGAUGAAAUUACGAUGACCUUAUAUUUUUCGUCGAACUUUGUGUUAAUUGGUCAACUGACCAAGUCGGAAACAAGAAUAUGCUAUAUUCGUCAGAAGUUUUUCAGAAAAAUACUUUCAAAAUUCUGACGAAUAUAGAAUAUUCUCUGCAUGCUUUUCAAUUGGUUGAAAAAUAGAUCCAUCAGAAUUUUGUCGGUAUAUUCCAAUUAAAAAGAGGGUUGGGGUUUCAAAACAAUUGAAAUUUGACCCACAAUAAACUUUAUAACUUUUUGAUAACUUAGAAGGAGUUAUCUGCAUGUUUAAGUAUAUAAGUGUUUAUACGAGAUCAUAUUACAAAUAAUUGAUAUUGUAAGUUGGAUUCUCGAAAUAUGUUUUUUAAGUAUAUAAAUGCUUAUGAGAGAUAAUACAUAUCCGCGGAUAUAUUUGUAGAGGAUUUUAUAACUUGUAAAAAUGGAAUGCUUUUUAACUCACAUCCUAUUAUACACUUAAUAUGUGUUUUUUUGACCUCAUAGGUAUCCGGUUUUACAUUAAUAUUAACUAAAUCAUAUCGGAAACAUUUAUUCGCUGGAAUUCCAUCGGAAUAUUCCGACAAAAUUCCGACGACAUUGGUAUAUUCCGUUGGUAUAAUUCCGAUGGAAAUGAAACCCCAUACCGAAACACCAAAAUAAGUGUUUUCGUUGGAAUUUCGUUUGAAUAUACCGACAGAAUACCGACGAAAUAAAGAAAUUUUUGAAUAUUAAAUAAUUUUGGAAUACAUUGUAAAUUUCUUAAGGCCAACAACCAAAAAAAUACAAAUAUUUUAUUCAACUCCAACAACCAAUACAUAAAAAAACUACACAAUUGAAAGUUAAAUAUAUGAUUACAGAUUUUCUAAAUAUGUUAAUCUACCCAUAAUCCGAAGAAUAAUCAGACGGACAUGAAUCCGAAUCUUCGUCAAACUCUCCAACCUCAGCAUCUGACUUGAAGUGUACAACAGCAUCAUUUCCAAACUCGGUAAAAUCGCAACAAGUUAAAAAUUUCUAAUCUUCAACUAGACUUACGCUGAUUCUAGAGUUUGGUUGCAAUGUGUCAUGAUCAGAACUUCCAAAUAUAAUCUUGAUUAUUGAAGUUUUGAACACUUAUGGUAUUCUUUGUUUUAUCCUAGAGUUUGAAACUGAAUACAACAUAGAGUAAGGAGUGAACUCUGGACGAGUGGCUGACUCAUUUGGUGCUAAAAAGACAAUAUUUCAAGUACUUUGAUAGUUUGUGUUCUUCUUGUUUAAGUCUUCAAGUAUUUUCUGUUUCUGGUGUGAUUUGAAAACUUUGUUUCAUGGAGCUAUGUUUGUUUCAUUUUCUGUGUUGGAAAAUUAUGUUUUAUUUCCUGGCUUGUUUUGCUUUGACAUUUUGAUUAAUGAGUCUGGUUUCAUUUAACAUUUCAUUUUCUAGAGUUUUUUUAUUUUAUUUUGGUUAAUCAGAUGUCGUUUGGGUAACAAGUCUAGUUUCAGUUUUUAGUUAAAUAGGGUAAUAUUUAACCGAACCAAAUUUUACCCAUUUUUGGGUUAUAUAUGGUUAGUUUCAUCAAAAAAUUUAACCGAUCCGAAACUGAACAAUACAUCGACCAAACACUAUUUGGAUACAUUUUUCAAAUAACCAAACUACUCAGAACCAACCUGAUUACCCAAAAUGUCAGGCCUAUCAGAAACAUGUUUUGAUACCAAUUGAAAGUGUGAAUGAGGCUAGAGUAAAGUGCCGAAAACAUUAUUUUCCAGUUUACUAGAAUAAAAACAAAUACAACUAAUUUGUAAACCCGUAAAUCAAGUACAAUCCUCCUAAAAUGCCGUUGUUUUCUAUUGCAAGAACUCAUUAGGGUAACCUAAUUGUAAUCUAAAAAUCCCCAAGAGCCUAGAAUUCAAUUCUAGAAUUCUCUCAAAGUUUGUUAACACCUAGCGGACAGCAAUGACACCAAACGCUUGAUCACACAAGCACACAAAUCUCUAUCGGUUUUCUUAUUCUCCAAAGUCCAUUAUUCUUUAUAAGGCUCAUGCUCCUUGUAUAGAAUACCUAAACCUGCAUCACAAGUUCUUCCCAGAAAAUUUUCCUUAUUUUUAAAUUAUAUUUCUUUUUUCCUUUUUUUUCCUGCAAACAAACUUCUAUUUUACUUAAAGUAAAUAUUCAGUUGUUAAAAGGUCUUGUUUAUGUAGAUGUUCUAGUUCACAUUUGCAACGCAGCAAUGUUUUACUUAACUACAAUUAAGAAUUAAGAAAUAUAUAUAUAUGUGUGUAUCUCUUAUAUAUUAAAAGAAAAACAUUACAACAUUUGAGGUAUACACAUAUCAUCACCAUAAUAAGUUUCAGAAUCCUAAAAAAACAGAUUGGUUCAUCUAAAUAUAUAAUAAGUUUUUUAUUAAAUUAAUCAUAAUUCAUCAUUAAUAUUCAUCAUUCUUUCCUUAAAUAAAAAUUACAAAAUUUUCUAAUGUGGCUAAAGUAUAUAUGAAAAUUAAUAAUACAGAUUUAAUAAAAAUCAUUGUAUCAUCUAUCAUAUUUGUUUAAUUUCAAAUUAUUAAAAUAAAUUAAACGACCACAUUAACCAUAUAAUAAAAAUUUAGAUUUUUCUGUAUAUGUUAUAUAUUUUUUUUAAAACGACCAUCAAUUAUUAAAACUGUCAAAACUCUCACAUUCAAAUUAUUGUGAUCCAUUGUUUAAGAUUUUUCCUAUGAUAAGAUACAAAUGCUUACAAAAUAAUUUAAUUAAAAAAUCUGAUUUAAUAAAUAUUAAGAUUAAAAAAUAUAUAUAUUAAUAUCUUUUAAAUUAAACUAUAUAACAUAUAGAAUACAUAAAUAUUUUAAUUUUGAAAUUUGUUUUGAAUUUUUUUUUCUUGAUAAAUAUUUGAACAACUAUUGACAAAUUAAUAUUUAAACUUAAAAUAUUUCAUUGAUUUUUUUAAAAAAUAUAUAAAUUAAUAAAAUUAUUAAUUUCAGAGUGAAAAUUUUGUUAUCAACGAUUUAAAGUUUUUGGUUAUAAAAAUAUACAAAUGAUCAAAAAACCUUAUGAGUAAAAACAUCAUUUAAUAGAUAUCAAUAUUAAAAAUAAAUUAUAUAUAUAUAUAUAUAUAUGUUAUUAUCAUUUUUUUUGGACAUUGAUACUGGUGAAAAAAAGGGCAGAGCGAGUGAAAAAAAAAAGCAGAGUCGUCGUCUUUUCACCUUCUCCGGCCGCGGCCUCUCGCCGUUGGUUCCGUGAGAAGGUGGUUGCAUGUUUCUUCUAGUUUUAUUCUCUUUUUAGUUUUCGAUGGUCUCAAAUCUGAAUAGAAGCUUCAUGUCUUCGGAUUGAAGUGAAGAGAUUCAGAUCUGGACGCAACAGACAUCGAUCUUGUCAGAUCUAUGGCCUGUGGUGGUUGGCUAGUGGUUACCGGCUGUAUGGAGAAGAAUCGUGUUAAGUAAGGCUUGGGUGGCCUUGCUGUGGUGUGGAGGCGCGUAGAAGGCGCGUGCUGAGCCCUUUCAAAGUCCAGUGGCGAGUUUAAGUUGGAAUUGGAGGAGGUCAGUGGAGUACAGGCGUAGAGGAGGAGGAGGAGGCGCAGUCUACAGCAACGGUUAUCUAUUAGCUAACAGUCCGGUUUGUUUCUUGUAUGAAUGGGUUUGAGUCUCGUCUAGAUGUUUGUAGUCAUCUGCCUUUAUGGUCUGUGUCUUCUAGUUUAUGUGUUGUUUUCUAUAUUUUAAUCUUUGGCUCCAGAUAGUAUUGUUUACUAUGCUGGCUACUGGCUCCGGAAGAAUCUUUGUCUUGCCGGCUUAAUGUAACCUUUGUUCAAGUUUCAAUAUUAAUCCAACAGAUGACAAAAAAAAAUGUUAUUAUCAUUUAAAAAUUGAAUUAUAUAUCAUAUAAAAUAGAAAGUGAUUGUUUUGGUUAAUAUAAUUUAUUAUACCAGUUUAAUUAUAUACAUAAUAGUUAAUGAAUUUUUAUUUAUUCUUUAUUAUUUCUUAAAAGGUAAAAGAACAUAUAAUACAUAAUAUAUAUAUUAUAAUGUUCAUCUUCCGCAAGGCGCAGAUUUUCACUUAGUAUUUGUUAAAUAUUAUGAUAAAUUCUUAUCCACAUGCCCUAUCUUAUGUAUGCACACCGUCCACAAAUGUGUCCAUCAAAGAUUUCAAGUGGACCAUCCUUUCCCCCAGUGGUUAACAAUGUGUGUGGGUAUUAUAGAAAAGUAGAAAAUUUAUUAUCUUUUUCCUUCAAAAGAAUUAACAAAAAUAAGAACAAAGAUAUCUAGGAAGUAGUUUAUAUAUAUAUAUAAUACAUGUAUCUUAUUUUCAAUGUACCAGUAGUGUGUACAAAAGAUCUCAUAAAGUCCACGUAAUAAGUGUUAAAUAUCAAAUGAUGACUAUUUUAUGAAUGAAUUGUAAUCUAUAUUAAAUAUACAUAAACCCGUAUAUGAUACUAUUGUGAAUGUGACGAUAAAAAGAUAAAAUGAUUGUUAUUUGAAUCUUUGAUGACCUAACUAACUUCAUCUGAAAUUAUAUUCCUAGGUACUGCUGUUUUCCUAUUCUACAAAAUAUACCACUAACAUUAUCUAACCUGUUUUGUUAAGUUAUUUUGACUGUUUUCCUAUCCCAAUAAGAGUUGAAAACCUAAUAGCCAUCGGAAAGUAACCAAGACGAAGAAGCAAUAUAGAGAUUACAUGUUCACAAUCACACAUUUGACAAUCCGAUAUAGAAUGUCUGAGAAACAGAAAACCAAAGGGAAAAGAAACAGACAAUUCGAAAUGAAAUGAGCAGAGAUUAUUAUGUGAAUGUCAUAGCAAAUUAAGCACCGGUGAAGCUUGGUGGUUUGUAGGCGAUGAAACUGAUGCACUGAACUUGACGGUUGUUGUCAAAUCCGAUGAUCCUGAUGAAAGCGUUAGGGUACUCCGUUUUGCAUUCUUGGACUUCCUUCAACACUUGAGCAGAGUCAGUGCAUCCGAACAAGGGAAGCUUCCACAUUGUCCAGUAACGUCCAUCAUAGUAUCCGGGUGUGCUUCCGUGCUCACGGUACACAAAUCCAUGCUAUACAAACAUGAGAGUACCAUUCAUAAUAAGAAUUCACAUGGUCUAAUAAAGGAUGUU
rnacentral:lncRNA from 1 species